ACAAAUACACUGGCCAUCAGACUGCAGAGACAUUAUGGUUUGCCUUGCUUUCCCUUUCUCUGUUCCUGUGAAUUUUGAAUUAUCCUGUUUUUUCAGGAAAACACAACUUUAAGAGAAGCCAGUCACUUAGCUGCAGGGCACUCUCACCUGACCUGAGCCUUGGGCUUAGCCACCCUCUGGUUGAUACAGAUCUUUUCGUCUGCAGUACAGGGUCCACUCUUGCUGAAUAGCUCCUUUCUGAAGUGUCUGAUGUUCCUGGGCCCUGAGAUGCAUCCUAGGGCUGAACAGUGAAAAACUAAAAAAAAGCUUUCUGUGUCCAGUCAACUGAGAAAAUGAUGCUCUGGAGCCCUUCAGUUCCUGUCUAGUCUGAAAACACUACAUACAAGGAAGAAGAAAUUAAUUCCACUCCAGAAAACCCCUGACUGUUUUCUACUUCCUGCCAAUAGCAUCUUUAUUUAAAGCAAAACAAACAACACCCUUAGUAAAUGAAGGCAUACAUACAUUAACAAUAACAGAUAUUCAGCAAAUAUCCUGAAUUAAAAUGUACUAGAUGUACAUUGUAUAAUGUACUGGAUGUGCACAUACAUACUUCUCUUAAAUAGAGAAUAUAAUUCUGCUACUUUUAUAUAAUUUAUGUAUUAAUAAUGGUAAUGAAAAGAUGGAAGUAAGGGAAAGCAUAUUGGAAGAAGCUCUAAUAUAUGCAUGUAGCUUUGCUUGGCAGACUUACAAAGGGUUUUACUGACUUUGCAAUAGUUAUAUGCAUAAGCUCUUCAGGGACCUUGAUCCUGAAUUGCUCCACACCAACAUAAAAUUGUUACAGACACGAACUGUCACAGUGGAGCUCUCUAUAAGAAAAGUCAAAUAGGGAUACACAAGUUAUUUCUCAACUUUCUUGAAAUUUACUUGCAAUUUUUAUGAGCAGCAAAGGUAGACUAGAUAUUCAUUAUCACAUGGAAGUAUAGAGCAACUGAUCAUAAAAGAUCAAAUGAUCUAAAAGCAAAAUACACUUUGUAGUAGCUUUAUUCAUGUUUUCUUUUUCUAGAACUAAACAGCAGAUGUUCCAAUUAAUGUGAUUUACUUCUUUUCCCCUUUUGUUGUUACAGCUUUUGAAUCUUUUCUGGAACCAGAAUUUUUUUUCCUUGAAUCUUUCUGGAAACAAAAAUUAUAUAAUAUAAACAUAUUAUAUGAAGCGUAAUCAACAGCAAAGUUAAACUGAGACGUGCUGAAAUUGCCCUUGGAGAUUUGGGUGAAUAUGGAGAGGCAUGUUACUAUCAAAAACAGACACCACAUGGAAACAAGCCAAGAUUUCCAGUCUCAGAGAAGCAUAGAAGAAUCUUGGGCAAUUUCUGAUCAAUCCAAGCUCAUCAUUACAAGAACUUUUAGGAAUCUUGCUCUAUUGUGUAAAGCCAGGGGCUUACCUCACUUGGUGUCUAAUUGCAGGUCUAGCUCAUUGAGCUCAUGAAAUAAAAGGUGAAAAAUUAUCUGUUUUUCACAAAGAUAUAUUGCUAUUUUUUCACAUAUACACUGAGAAAAACAAACACUAAUGCUCCAUCUAGACUCUAAUCUCCUAUAUGGCCUUCAGUAUGCUUCUCAGAGCCUCCCAUCAGCAUGCCAGCUCAUAAAACCCACACAUCUUCCAAAUGGAUUUGAGGUUUUUAAUAAAUCAUUAGUCUAAAUAUUACAUUUUACAUGCCACUGGUUACACCUGGCCUUUUGUAGUUACUGAAUGAUUCAUGGGCUGUUUGGAAGAACACACAUAUGCACACAAAUAUUUAUAACUCUGUGUUUUGUUGAGAAAGGUUGUUGACCUCCUUCAAUCAAGAAAUUUUAAUGCUUUGUGCUGACUUUCGAUUUUAUUGGUUGUUUAAGGUACAAUCAAGGCUUGAAUGGGAUUUGAGAUGGAGGCUGUGAUCACCCAGUUGCAAAACUGAGUUCCUUGCCCUUUGGUGGUAACCUCUGUGUGUAUACUAUCUAACUACAAGCUCUAAUCAUGAAAUUCCAGGAGUCUGUGGUGUAUAACCUGUGGUGUUGGAGGAAGAGGCAUAUGGUUUCUGAGACCAGGAUCUGAAGAGAUACAACUUUUUCCUGACCAUUUUGAAGACAGAGAGUUGAGGUCUCAAACAGUACAGUCUCUGUCUUGUAAUGGAUUUCUGGGUGGUUGCUCAUGCAAGUAUUGUCAUUUAAGUCCACAGCAUCACUAGGCACCCUGAUGCUUUAAAGCCAUCCCUGUUUACCAUAUUUUGGAACAACAUGGUCUUCAUGUCUGCAUGAGUUCUUCAAUGAGGUUUUCAUGACUGCAUUGAGUUUUUACGAAAUGCUUUCAACACUGUUCUUCAGCAAGGGUA